rnacentral:pre_miRNA from 1 species
GUACUAGUAGUAGUAGUAGUAGUAGUAGUGGUGUUGUGGCUACAGGCGGUGUUAGCCUGUAGCCACAACACCACUACUACUACUACUACUACUACUACUAC